AAUUAAUCUCUUGUAGAAGAUCAACAAGAAAUCUUUUCAUUUCUCUCCUAAUGAAAAAUUCUAUAAAAUACCCACCAAACACCCAGCAUUUAUCUCCACCCAUCUCGAAGAAUAUAAACACGCUACGACUUCCUGAGCUUUUUGUUUUAGAAUUUUUCUGGUACAUAAACAAAUGUCUCCAAGAACCUCUCUUGCAAUCUUCCUUUUCAUUAACCUCAUCUUCUUCUCUUACACUUCUGCACAAGGCACUUGUCCUAAAAAUGCCUUACAACUAAAACCUUGCAUUGAUGGGAUCAUCAAACAGGAUCAGCUAAAUUUCGGAGACCGAGUCCUAACCCCAUGCUGCUCGCUUAUUCAUGAUGGCUUGUCUGACCUUGAGGCUGUAGCCUGUCUCUGUACCGCUCUCAAGGAAGGCAUUCGUAGCUUCGUCCCUAAUUUUCCCACAAGUAUCACGGCUCUCUUCGCUUUUUGUGGCAAAAAAGCUCCAAAGGAUAUAAAAUGCGUCUAGGUCACUGGAGCUAAUUAUCUGACAGCAAGAAAGAGAGCUCCAGUGUUGUCUGCAGUUCAAGAGACUUCAUGCAUGUGCUUUUCGAAUCUUGCUGUGAGAAGAGCUGUUACUCAAUUAGCAAUGAAGUUGCGCAAACUUUGGGGAAAAAGCUCAUGAUCAUUAGGUGUGCUGAAGUAGACAAGACACUGACAAGAAAGUUGAGAGAGAGAGUUACAAAAAAAUUCCACGACGAAACUUUGGUCUUUUGCGAAACUCUGGUGUUCAUGAGCCGAUUGAGCUCAUUGUUCUGGAUUUGAUUUCCGUUGUGGAACUUCUCUUAGUGUUUUUGGUUUUAUUUUGUUGUUCAGUUCGUUGGUUUCUAAUUGUUGAUUUGAUUCGCGUGUUGUAAAGAGUUUUACAUCUCUUCAUUUUUUGCCAAACUGUUUUACAUUUCUUCAUUUUUUGCCAAACUGUUAUUACAGUAGGCGAUCAUGCUCUGCUCAUUGUUCUUGAUUCUAUGUUCCUUGCAGA